rnacentral:rRNA from 1 species
UACGUAGGUGGCAAGCGUUAUCCGGAAUUAUUGGGCGUAAAGCGCGCGUAGGCGGCUUUGUAAGUCAGAGGUGAAAGCCUGGAGCUCAACUCCAGAACUGCCUUUGAGACUGCAUCGCUAGAAUCAUGGAGAGGUUAGUGGAAUUCCGAGUGUAGAGGUGAAAUUCGUAGAUAUUCGGAAGAACACCAGUGGCGAAGGCGACUAACUGGACAUGUAUUGACGCUGAGGUGCGAAAGCGUGGGGAGCAAACAGG